rnacentral:lncRNA from 1 species
CCUGCAUUAGACACUGUGAUUCAGCCAUGAACUAGAAGGCAAAGUUCUGGCCAACAGAAAGCUCACAUUCCAGGACUGCAGUCUUUCCUUAGUCACAGAGGCGUCCAUGUCCUCAGUCUGCCCACUAUGCACCUAUUAACUCAUCAGAUCUGCAUCUCUAGAUUCAUCUCCUCUAUGCCAGGUAUUAUACCAGUCAACACUUUAUGUAUUUCAUCCUCAUGACAACUCCACAUGAUCAGAUCAAGUGCUCAGUUGGUUCUUCCUCCCUGUGUCCCCCAAACCAUCCAGGAGCAGGGGCUUGAAAGAUUUACAACACUUUACACUACUUCAACAGCUAUUUUAGUCCUUAGAUUUUAUUGCCCCAACCAUGGUCUCCUUGGGAACAGACUGAAUCUGGAUCCAGAAGUGGCUGCUGAGGGAGAAGGUAGACAAGGUAGACCAAGAGCAACUAAGUUACGAAAGCAUUUCAAGGAUGGAGUGAUCAACUGGACCAAAUGACACUGAGAGAUUAAGAAAAGAUGUAAUUCACAUUGGAUUGGUGGUAUGAUGGUUAUUCAGGGAAAGGUCAAGAUGAUUAUUGUGAAAAGUUUGGGAAUUUUUUUUUACUUUAAGUUCUGGGAUACAUAUGCAGAAUGUGCAGGUUUGUUACAUAGGUAUACAGGUGCCAUGAUGGUUUCUGCACCUAUCAACCCGUCAUCUAGGUUUUAAGCCCCACAUUAUUAGCUAUUUAUCCUGAUGCUAUCCCUCCCCUUGUCCCUCACCCUGCAACAGGCCCCGGUGUGUGAUAUUCCCCUCCCUGUGUCCAUGUGUUCUCACUGUUCAACUCCCACUUAUGAGUGAGAACAUGCAGUGUUUGGUUUUCUGUUCCUGUGUUAGUUUGCUGAGAAUGAUGGUUUCCAGCUUCAUCCAUGUCCCUGCAAAGGACAUGAACUCAUUCCUAUUUACGGCUGCAUAGUAUUCCAUGGUGUAUCUGUGCCACAUUUUCUUUAUCCGGUCUAUCAUUGAUGGGCAUUUGGGUUGGUUCCAUAACUAAAGGAAAAAGUGGACUCAUAAGAGAAGUUAAUUUUAAAAUAGAAAACUGGAAUGUUUGCCUGCUGAUGGGAGUGAUCCAAUAGAGAAAAUUAGUGCAAAAAAUGUGGAUAAACAAAAGCACUUAUACAUCAGGUAUAUAAGAUUGUUCUGUUCAAUGAUGUUUUGCUAUAACCUCGAUGAGAAAAAAAAAUCAAUUCCCCAGCCAUGGCCAUUUUCUGUGUGAAGUUUGCGUGUUCUCUUCAUGUCUGCAUUGGUUUCCUCCCACAUCCCAAAGCCGUGCCACUGGCAUCCCAUUGGCAUGUCUGAAUUGUCCCAGUAUGAGUGGUGUGGGUGUGUGUGAGGGUUCUCUGCGAUGAGAUGGCAUCCUGUUCGGGACUGGUUCUUACCUGAACCUCCAGGACAGGCUCCACAGUAGGUCACCACCUACAAUCUUGAACUGGAACAGUUGGGCAAGUAAUUAUCUGACUUGUUUGUAUUAAUCUUUCUUAAAAGUGUAGCUCACAUUUAUUUCAUUGUUUAAUAUUGGAAGUGUUUUGGUCUUUAUUUUGAAGGUUGGGUGAUGAUUUUGUGACCAGAAAUAUGCUGUAGGAAAUUAACUCUAGUUUAUUUCAAUUAGCCUAUGUUAAGUUGAUUUCCUUUUACAUCGUUUCACUUACAAUCGUAGCUUCCAAGAACCUAUCAAUGACAUUAAGUGAAGACUAUUUGUAUAUGCCGAGUUGUCAGUCUCUGCCGAUAGAAUAGGGGAAGGAAGUUAAGGAAUGAAGCCCACAAAUUCCUUCUUCAUCUCUCAAACUUGAGAAAGGGCUGCCCAUUAGUCCUCCUUGAUCAACUAAGUUUGAACUGUCUGCAAUAUCCUUGCCCUAUUCGACCCCCAGUAUGAACUAAGUGGAUAUGUAAGAUCUUACCUAUUUUUUCUGUGCCUGUUCAUUUUGUCUCAAAACAAAAACAAAGUGAAGGCUCAUUAAUGAGAAAUCAAUGAAACAAUAAUUGAUCACACACCUUUAACAGCUGCCUCCUCUUAACAAAUCAUCAUAUAUCUAACCCCAAGCCCAAACCACCACCACCGCAUAUGGCUCUGUUAUCCCUGUGUAGGUUCCUAGGCUAUAGGUCUCGGGUCUCCUAAGUCCAGCCCAUUCUAUGACCUUUUCAUUUCCACCUAUGUGACAAUAUAGAGUAGAUGCCUCUAUUCCCAACUUGGAAGUAAAGAAAAUCCUGAAAUGCCAGAAUUGAUAAGAGAGAUAUGAUAAAAGCAAUUUAAAGCAAAAUUUCAGAAGAAGAGAAAAGAACUUGGCUAAAACCUAAUUAGUAAUUUCAACAUUAUUUCAAAAAAAGAAUGUGAUACAAUUCCCAGACAGUGUGUGCCAUGGAACCCUGGGAAGGCACAGCAAACUCAUAUGGGUGCAGAGGGGUAUUUUAAAUUUUAGAGGAAACCAGCAAUUUGUCAGAAACAAUGUCAACUGCUAGUUCCUGGAGAUCCACACUUUCAACAAUAAACAUUGCUACAUUCUUUUUGAUGAUGUCAUAUCUUUGCAAACUUGGUUUUUAUGCAGUAGCUCUGAUAAAAAACAAUUGCUUUGUGAAAAUCACUGUGGGACAGAAAAUGAGAGUGGCAGUGUCCAAUCUGAUUCUGAGGUUUGAGAAAGUGCACGGUAUCCAACAGAUACACACAUUCUAUUAGCGUGUAAUUGAGG